AUAAGGGGUGCCACCAUCAGGUGGCCGCAGAGAAUAGGCCCAAGCGACUGUUUACCAAAAACAUAGGUUUCUGCUAAGUCGCAAGACGAUGUAUAGGAGCUGACGCCUGCCCGGUGCUGGAAGGUUAAGGGGAUCUGUUAGAGUAAUCGAAGCAGUGAACUUAAGCCCCAGUAAACGGCGGCCGUAACUAUAACGGUCCUAAGGUAGCGAAAUUCCUUGUCGGGUAAGUUCCGACCCGCACGAAAGGCGUAACGAUUUGGGCACUGUCUCAACAACAGACUCGGUGAAAUUGUAAUUCCGGUGAAGAUGCCGGAUACCUGCGACAGGACGGAAAGACCCCAUGGAGCUUUACUGUAGCUUGACAUUGGGUCUUGGUACUACAUGUACAGGAUAGGUGGGAGGCUUUGAAACCAGGACGCCAGUUUUGGCGGAGCCAUCCUUGGGAUACCACCCUUGUAGUACUGGGACUCUAACCAUAGGCCAUGAAUCUGGUCUUGGGACACUGUCAGGUGGGCAGUUUGACUGGGGCGGUCGCCUCCCAAAAGGUAACGGAGGCGCUCAAAGGUUCUCUCAGUACGGUCGGAAAUCGUACGUAGAGUGUAAAGGCAAAAGAGAGCUUGAUUGCAAGACAUACAGGUCGAGCAAGGAUGAAAAUCGGACUUAGUGAUCCGGUGGUUCUGCGUGGAAGGGCCAUCGCUCAACGGAUAAAAGCUACCCUGGGGAUAACAGGCUUAUCUCCCCCAAGAGUCCACAUCGACGGGGAGGUUUGGCACCUCGAUGUCGGCUCAUCACAUCCUGGGGCUGUAGUAGGUCCCAAGGGUUGGGCUGUUCGCCCAUUAAAGUGGUACGCGAGCUGGGUUCAGAACGUCGUGAGACAGUUCGGUCCCUAUCCGUCGCAGGCGUAGGAAAUUUGAGAAGACCUGUCCUUAGUACGAGAGGACCGGGAUGGACG
rnacentral:rRNA from 1 species